rnacentral:rRNA from 1 species
GUAACCUACCCAUCAGAGGGGAUAACACUUGGAAACAGGUGCUAAUACCGCAUAACAGUUUAUGCCGCAUGGCAUAAGAGUGAAAGGCGCUUUCGGGUGUCGCUGAUGGAUGGACCCGCGGUGCAUUAGCUAGUUGGUAAGGUAACGGCUUACCAAGGCAACGAUACGUAGCCGACCUGAGAGGGUGAUCGGCCACACUGGAACUGAGACACGGUCCAG